UGAACGCGAAGAACCUUACCAGGUCUUGACAUCCUCUGACACUCCUAGAGAUAGGACGUUCCCCUUCGGGGGACAGAGUGACAGGUGGUGCAUAGAUAUAGUCAGCUCGUGUCGUGAGAUGUUGGGUUAAGUCCCGCAACGAGCGCAACCCUUGAUCUUAGUUGCCAGCAUUUAGUUGGGCACUCUAAGGUGACUGCCGGUGACAAACCGGAGGAAGGUGGGGAUGACGUCAAAUCAUCAUGCCCCUUAUGACCUGGGCUACACACGUGCUACAAUGGAUGGUACAAAGGGCAGCAAAGCGGUGACGCCUAGCAAAUCCCAUAAAACCAUUCUCAGUUCGGAUUAGCGGCUGCACUCGCCUACAUGAAGCUGGAAUCGCUAGUAAUCGCUUAUCAGCAUGCCGCGGUGAAUACGUUCCCGGGUCUUGUACACACGCAC
rnacentral:rRNA from 1 species